AUUGAACGCUGGCGGCAUGCCUUACACAUGCAAGUCGAACGGUAACAGGUCUUCGGAUGCUGACGAGUGGCGAACGGGUGAGUAAUACAUCGGAACGUGCCCGAUCGUGGGGGAUAACGAAGCGAAAGCUUUGCUAAUACCGCAUAAGAUCUACGGAUGAAAGCAGGGGACCGCAAGGCCUUGCGCGAACGGAGCGGCCGAUGGCAGAUUAGGUAGUUGGUGGGAUAAAAGCUUACCAAGCCGACGAUCUGUAGCUGGUCUGAGAGGACGACCAGCCACACUGGGACUGAGACACGGCCCAGACUCCUACGGGAGGCAGCAGUGGGGAAUUUUGGACAAUGGGCGAAAGCCUGAUCCAGCCAUGCCGCGUGCAGGAUGAAGGCCUUCGGGUUGUAGACUGCUUUUGUACGGAACGAAAAGACUCUGGUUAAUACCUGGGGUCCAUGACGGUACCGUAAGAAUAAGCACCGGCUAACUACGUG
rnacentral:rRNA from 1 species